rnacentral:lncRNA from 1 species
AAGGUGACGAUCGAGUGAAGAGGGUCCGGUUACAAACACUCCAUGCAAAUUUUGAGUUCUUGCACAUGAAGGACUCGAAAAAUAUUGCAAGCUACUUUGACCGUGUGCAGUCAGUCGUAAACCAAUUGCGGGCAAACGGUGAAUCGUUGGACGAGCAGAGGGUGGCAGAAAAAAAUCUUACGCUCUUUGAGCACAAGAUUUAACUACGCAGUAGCUGCAAUCGAAGAAGGUCAAGAUACAACAACUAUGUCAGCAGACCAGUUGUUGGGUUCGUUAAGUUCUCAUGAGCAGAGAAUGAACCAGACGGCGAGUAGCAGUAACCAAGAACAAGCUUUGCAAAGCAGCUAUGUCCCAGGAAAUCGUGGUGGCAAUCAAGGCAACAACAGCCAUGGACGCGGUGGCGGACAAGGUAGCGGGCAAGGUGGAGGAAAUUGGAAAAAUAAUUUUUCUGGUAAAAUUGACAAGUCCAAAGUUAAAUGUUACCGGUGUCAACAAUGUGGGCAUUACAAAAGGGAAUGUCCGCGUGGCAACCGACACGGACGAACGCAGCAGGCAACGCUGGAGAACCAAAUAAAAAUCACUCAGAUAUUUGGUUUCUUAAUAGCGGUUGCUCGAAUCAUAUGUGCGGACGCAAGGACCUGUUUACGAAGCUAGAGGAGUACGUGUUGCAGAGGCAAGUGACAAUAUGGUUCUCGCAUGCAACGCUGGAGAACCAAAUAAAAAUCACUCAGAUAUUUUGUUUCUUGAUAGCGGUUGCUCGAAUCAUAUGUGCGGACGCAAGGACUUGUUUAGGAAGCUAGAGGAGUACGAAGGCGAUGAAGUCAACUUUGGCAACAAGACGAAUGUGAGUGUCAAAGGUAAGGGUGACAUCAAAAUCCAAUCAAAGGAUGGUACAGAUGUUAAUGUCGCCGAUAUUUUCUUCGUACCUCGGCUUUUCUGGAACUUAUUAAGCAUUGGGAAGCUUUCAGAAAAGGGGCACAAGAUUCUUUUCCAAGAUGGAGUCUGCACGAUCCGGAGCAAGAACAACAAGUUAAUCACGCAGGUAGAAAUGGCCAAAAACCGAAUGUUCGCUCUUACUCUUAAUACGAAGGGAGUA